rnacentral:lncRNA from 1 species
AAUUCUUAUCUACUCCUGUCUAUUUAUUAUUCUGAAUGCUUCUUAUAUCUUUAAAGGCACCUCUUUAUUUAGAUUGGGAACAUUUUUCUUAUAUUAUUUUUUUAGUCUAAAGACUUAUUUAUUUACUAUGUAUAAUGUUCUGCCUAAAUGUAUGCUGGCACACCCUAAGAGGGCACCAAAUCACAUUAUAGAUGAUUAUGAGCCACCAUGUGGUUGCUAGGAAUUGAACUCCGGACCUCUGAAAGAACACCCAGUACUCUUUAACUCUGAACCAUCCCUCUUGCCCCUGUCCAUUAUUAUUUUUUUUAAUUUAUUUUCUACCCUCAGUUUCUUCUCUUUCCUCUAUACCUUUUAUGUGCAGGUUUAGUCUUUUCAUAGUUGCCCAGAUUUCCUGGAUGUUUUGUGUGUUGAGUUUUUCAGAUUUAACACUUUCUUUGACUGAUGUACUUGUUUCUUCUACUUCAUCUUCAAAACCUGAAAUUCUCUCUUCCAUGUCUUUUAAUCUAUUGGUGAGGCUUACCUCUGAAGUACUUAUUUGAUUUCCUCAAUUUUUCAUUUCCAGUUUUAUUUUGGUUUAGGUUUUCUUCAGAUAUUCUUCUGCUUCUUUGUUAAGUUGCACUUUCCUGUCUUAAAUUAUUUUCUUUAACUCAUUCAAGUGUUUGUGUUUACACAGUCUUCAUUGAGGCAUUUAUUCAAAUCCUCUCUAAGGUCCUUGAACACAUUCAUAAUUGCUCUUUUAAAGUCCCUUUGCAUGCUUCAGCUAAAUUUUUCUUUUUCAGGUCCUUAUUCAGGGGGGGUUUCUGGUUACUGGAAGAGAUAUAUUAUCAUGGUUGUUUAUGUUUGUGGUUUUGUACUGGGAACUAGGUACCUAACGUUAUAUCAAGUUUGGUGUUUCAUGGUGUUGAUAUCUGGUCUUGACUUUGUCAGGUGAAUAUUCCUUUCUUUUGCUGCUGUUGCCUACUAUAGGUCAAAGCUAAUUGUGGUGGCUGUGAGGUCCCUGAAUUUCAGCCUACUAUGGCUGCUGAUGGUCUGUGUUAGAGAAUGAUCCUAAGGUUUGACAGGUCUAAUAAAGGACUCCAUAGCCCACUUUUAAAUUGGGUCAUUUGUUUUCUUGAUUCUUAGUCAUUUGAGUUCCUUGGGUAUUCUAAAUAUUUAUACUCUACUGAAUGUUUAUCUGCUAAAAUUCACCUGCAUACUCUGGAGUCUACCUUUUCACACUAUUUACUGUUCCUUAGCUGUUCAGAAGCCUUUUAAUUUUAUGAGGUUCCAUGUGACAGUUUUUGAGAUUAAUUCUUGAGUAAAUGGAAUCCUAUUCAGAAAGUCUUUUCUUAUGCCUACAUCAUGUAGGGUACUAUCUAUGUUUUCUUCUAGCAGUAGUAGAUACAUGUAUAAUUUUAUACUUCUACAUGUGAACAUUCUGUUUUCUCAGCAUCAUUUUUCAAGAUGCUAUUUUUUUCCUCCACUAUGUGUUUUUGGUAUCAUCACCAAAACUCAGAUGGCUAUAGUUACAUGCAUCACGUGGAGUUCUUCGAUGUACAUGUCUAUUUUUGUGCCAUUACCAAGGUGUUUUUAUUAUUGUAACUCUAUGUUUUGAAAUCUGGUAUAAGAAGCCCUCUCCUUGUUCCUGUUACUUGGCUGAAAGUUUUAUCAUUUAUAUGAGUUUUCUAGUUGAAUUUUUGGGAUCAUUUAUGUGCAGAACACACUAUUGGCAAACAGGAAAAGUAUUUCUUUAAUUUCAUUGUUUUGUCUUAUUGAUCUAACUAGGGUUUCAAGCACUAUAUUGAAAAGGAUUGGAGCUAAUGGAGAGCCCUGUCCCAUAUUAUUGAUUGUUUUAAGUUGUUCUUUGAUUAGAAUGAUGUUAACUAUAUAAUUCUUGUGCAGGGAGCUGCAGAUGUGGUGAGUUUAGAGAUACUGUUUGACUCCAGUCUUUCCUAAUCUCUGGAUAUUUCUUUCUGACCCAUCAUCUCUCCGAUGGUUCCUGAAACUUUUGGGGAAGUGGAGUAAGCACCACUUAUGGCUGAACAAUUAUGACACCUAUGGCAGACACUUAUUCUUCUAAUUUUGACAAGUUGUGUGUUCCUAUAUUAACUACCAUACACAGCAUGGAAGAGCUUUUCUGAUAAGCUGCACUAAUCAGUGCAUAGUUUGAUUCUGUGUCCAAUUAGAAAGAAAAACAAAAAGUAGUUAGUUCACCCAUGGGUGAACUGAGCUUCCUAACCAUGGCUUCUUGACCAACUUUAUAGUACCAGGUAGGUGUUUCCUUCUGCAGAACUAGCUUUAAAUUCUACAAAGUGGUUAGCUAUUCCUAUAAUAUUCAUGAUACUACUGUACCCAUGAGCAUAUCUUGCCAUGUGUGGUGGUUUGAAUGAGAAUACCCCACUCCCAUUGGCUCAUAUAUUUGCAUAUUUGGUUCUCAGUUGGUGGACUAUUUCGGAAGGAUUAGGAGGUGUGGCUUUGAUAGAGAAGGGAUGUAACUGGGGGUGGGUGUUGACGUUUCUAAAGCCCAUGCCAUGUCCAGUCUCACUCUCUACCUUCAUCAUGUGAAUCAGGAUCUAAGCUGUUCCAGCACUAUAUCUACCUGUCUGCCAUGCUCCCCUUUAUGGUGCAAAUGAACUAAUUCUUUGAAAUUGUAAAUAAAUAGGCUUGGUCAUGUGUCUCUUCCCAGCAAUGAAACAGUAACUAAGACACCAUGCCACUUAUUAUGGUGAUUCAGGCUCUUGCUGACUUUCUUUCUACCCACCAACCAUAUAAUGCCUUCUAAGUGAUACUGUGAGAGCUGGGAAGCACCCUGGUUAAUACCAAUACUGGUUUUUCCUUGUCCUGUGACCAGUAUCUGUGACAUCACUACACUUAGGGUCUUAUAAGUUCUGGUGAGCAACCGAAAGCAAUGGCAAUUGCUUGUAUUUUUUCAGCAGUCUCUGGGACACCUCUGACCAACACCUUGAGUCAUGGUAUUCGAGACAUGGCAUUGGCCUCCUAAUUUGGUCUGUUAUGGCGUCCAGGAUAAACACAAUACCCUGCAUAGAAUAAUUCCAAUUAAGCAUGUUAUCUUAUAAAAUAGGUAUGUCCUUUCUGAUUGUUCUUUUAUCUUCUGCUCUGCCCUCCAUGAACAGUAAAUCAUUACCAAAUGUACCAAUAUACUUGAUUUCAAGUUAUACUACAGAGUCAUAGUAGUCAAAACAGAGUAUGGUACCGACACAGUAACAGACACAAUAAAUGGUGGAAGAGACUCAUUGGCCCAAAUAUAAUUCUAUGAACCUGUGGCCACUUGAUUUUUACAAAGAUGCAAAAAUUAUACACUGAACAAAGACAGCAUCUCUAACAAAAAUAUAUGCUGGAAAAACUGGAUAGCAAGAUGUAGAACUUGAUCCUUCUCUCUCUUAACCUGCACAAAACUCAACUUCAAAAGCAUCUCCCUGGUAGUACUGAAACUCUAAAACUCC